GGUCUGUAGCUCAGUUGGUAGAGCGCUUGUCUAGCACAUGUGAGGCACUAGGUUCUAACCUCAGCACCG
rnacentral:tRNA from 1 species